UACGUAGGAUGCAAGCGUUGUCCGGAAUUAUUGGGCGUAAAGAGCGCGCAGGCGGUUUUUCAAGUCAGAUGUGAAAUAUCCGGGCUUAACCCGGAGGGGUCAUUUGAAACUGAGAGACUAGAGUACAGCAGAGGAUAGCGGAAUUCCCGGUGUAGUGGUGAAAUGCGUAGAUAUCGGGAGGAACACCAGUGGGCGAAGGAGGCUGAUCUGGGCUGAAACUGACGCUGAGGCGCGAAGGCUAGGGGAGCAAACAGG
rnacentral:rRNA from 1 species